AUGCUUUUCGCUCUACCUAAAGUUCUUUUUUGGUACCGAAAAAUUCCACCCCAUCAUUCACACUUGUAUCUUGGUUUUUCGAAGUCCCAAGUUUCCAUACCAUUCCUUUCCAAUGUCCUGUCCAAGUUUCUGAAUUUACCAUCAAUUUUAAUAUUAGUAAUGUCUCGUAUUGUUGAUACUGAAAAAAGUAUUUGGGGUUUGUUUCUUUCAUGUACAGUUUUUGUUACUUAUAGUAAUGUACACUUUUUAUUACUUUUUAGUCAUGUACAUGUACAUAACAUAAAUGAGGUUCGUGAAUGUCCAGAUUUUAGAUGUUGA
rnacentral:rRNA from 1 species